rnacentral:rRNA from 1 species
GACGAACGCUAGCGGCGUGCUUAACACAUGCAAGUCGAACGGCAAGUCUCCUGCUUGCUUUAGUCCUCGAGUGGCGCAAGGGUGCGUAACACGUGUGUAAUCUGCCCUCCACUCUGGGAUAAGCCUGCGAAACUGGGUCUAAUCCUGGAUAUGACCUUUCUCCUUCUUGUGUUUGUUGUAAAGUUUUGCGGUGUCGCAUGAGCGCGAGUCCUAUCGGCUUUUUGUUGGGGUGAUGGCCUACCAAGGCGACGACGGGUAGCCGGCCUGAGAGGGUGAUAGGCAAAAUUGGGACAGAGAUACGGCGGAGACAGCUACGGGAGGUAGCAGAGGGGAAUAGUGAACAAGGGGCGGAAGCGUGAUGCAGAGAAGCAGGGUGAGGGAGGACGGACUUUGGGUUGUAAACCGCUUAAAGCAGGGAUGAAGCGUAAGUGAAGGUAAAUGGAGAAGAAGGACAGGCUAAAUAAGUG